rnacentral:lncRNA from 1 species
UGAAUUAACAAAACUUGCUACACGAAAACGUAGUAUACAAAGUUUCUAGAAUUACUAGACUUGAUUUAGAGUACCAAUAACAUUUAAUAGCAUCGGAACCUACAUUACAGUGGUCGUAUUACCUAAAGGUUCUUUUGCAGCAGCCAGGGUUCUUUUCAUGCCACCGAUGAACAGUGGUCACGUUAAAGAGUGAUGUAUCCAUUCUGCAAUGCUAAAUUACAAUUGGUAGUAGUUUCUAGGGAGGGUAUACCCAUCGACAGUGGAAAAACUUAAUCACUUCAAACUCGCUGAAAGAGACAGAGAAAGAACUUAAAACUCUUAACACCAAUUAUGAAGGUAAACUUUUCAAGCCAAUCUUACUUCCGCCAAUUAUUUUUAUCUUCACCAAACGCCGUCCCUUCCACUGGUCGCCAAGUCUUAGCACUAAACCAAAUUUAAUGCAAGUGCCACCUAGAUCCAUCCAUCAGACCUAUAUAAUGCGCUAUAUAUAUAUAUAUAUAUAUAUAUAUGGCAAACCCUAUACAUGGGAGUGGGACAUCACCCCUAAAUUUUAUUAGUUAUUUAAUUUAGAAAAAAAAAAACAGAGGAGGACACCGAUCUUACCUCCAAAUAGUACAAAGGAAAACACUAACAUGACAGAAUAGAAAUCAGGAGUACUGCUCCCUUUACAUCAUUUACUCUUGCAUUUCCUAAUUGAUGGAAGGCCUAUUUUGUCUAAUCUAAAAGCCCCUCAAACAAUGAGAGGAAGAUCUGAAAGCUGAAGGUAGGCCGCCCUAUCCAAUCAUUCAUCACAACCUACAUUGGAUAAACAAUUCACAACUUGGUUACCUUCCUGAAAGCAAUGAAAAAUUUCAACAAAAUUAGAUGAAAAGGUUAGAAGAUGUUGAACUUCCAUAUAAAAACUCCAAAAACUCCAAGCACUAAAGAGUCCAUUUCAAUAUGAAUGUUUAUAUAACCACGAGAAAUGCAUAGCCUAACCCCAAAGAGGAGGGCACGCACUUCAGCUUGAAUGCUAGUUACACUGCCUAAAAAAGAGGAGAAUGCAAGUAGGAAAUUUCCUUCACCAUCCAGCAAAACUCCACCAUUUCCUGCCCUUCCUGGAUUACCCCUUAAGCAACAAUCAGUAUUAAGUUUAACCACUCCCAAAGAUGGUGUCCUAGCUUAAGUAAAACCUGAUUUUGAAAUGAAGUGAGAGAAGCACAAAACUCUAUCCAUGUUGAAGAAGCAAAAGGAUACCCAAGAAAUUGCAACUUGAAGAUAAAUUAACAAUAUAUUGAAGUUUUAGGUUGUAGAUUCCACUUAUGGUCCAAAAAUUACAAUUGAAUGAGUUUUACCUCUUGUUACUACUCUUGUUUAACUAGGGAUCAUUUCUAACAUUACCAAAAUUCAUUCUCAUGAUGUAGUGGCUUAAACUAGUUUAGCCUUUCCUAUUCUCAUGGUCAAGAACUAAAUCUAGUCAUUUAACUUCAUGAAAUGGUAAGAAAAUCCACUUAAAUGUACAUCUACUCUCGUGAGUCUACUCCUUAAUUUUCAUUUAUCUUGUUUCAUCAUUAUUACCGAUUUUCAUUGAGUAACAAUAACUAAAAACUUGCUAUUGUGAUCAAGCAACAAUAAGUAAUAAGUAUGUGUAAAUGAACAAAUUAAUACAAGAGGUAACAAGCACUUGUACGCUUGGGGGUUGAGUACAAAGCUACUCGGAAGACUGGGCGAUAUUCGGUAUUGACUUCAUCAUUUCCAGAGUCGCAACGUCUUCUAAUUUACUUGUUCGCCUUCAACAUAAUUCCAAGGGCAAGUGGAACAAAUGAGGUGCGCACAAGUGAUAUCUAUUUCUUGGAUAAAAUGGAGCAUGGUUUAGGAAACAUCCAAGGCAUUCCAUUGGGAAGCAUUAUCACCAACCACAUGUGGACUGUGGUUCACAGUAACAACAUCAAACAUGCCUUCCCAUAUCCUCGGUUCUUGACCUUUGAGUUUCAAAGGGUUGGAGUGGAUUUUUCUAAUGCUAUCCCUAUAGGUCUCAAGAAGAAGGAUGUCUUUACACUGGAUUUUUGUAGGUUUAUUUUGAAGAGUAAAGACAUAGGUGGUCCUUCGACUCAAGGAGAUGCUCAAGGAGACAUUCGGCAUGAGGAGGGAGCUGAAAUUGAACGAAUUGAAGAAGCUCAAGGGGUUGAGACAACCACCCCACUGAUCUCAACUGAGCCGUCUUCCUCACGUCGUCCAUCUUCACCUCAAGACACUCGAACAUUUCUGAAGAAGAUAAUGGAUAAGCUGCCUUGCGUCGAGGCUGAGGUGAAGAAGAGCCGCCAAGAGAACAAACGGAACUCCGAGCGUCUUCAUCGCAUUGAGACCAAGCUGGGUAUUGAAGCUUCUCCGACUCCACCAUCUUCACCUGACCAAGUGACUACUUGAGGGAGUGCUUGUCACCUCAUGACAUUGCCACUAGUUUUUCUUUUAUUUUCUGUAGUAUUUGUGAUGUUUAAUUUUUAGUGGUUUUCAUUAUUUCUUUUGUGUGAACUAAUCCAAGUGAUCUUCAUCUAUGUUUUUCAGAUUUCUUAUGGUUGGAAAUUCAUCACUUGACCAUGGAUUCUGAUUAUGCAAGUUCAAUUGACCAGUAUUUUCUUUUACUCUUUAUUUAUUUCCCUUUUCUCACAUUGAGGACAAUGUGAAGUUUAAGUGUGGGGGAGGAAAAUAUUGAACUUGCAUUUACUUGCUAGGUGAUGAUAUUUUGUGGAUUUAAAUGCUUAGAAAUGUUGGAAUUAUGUUUGAAUUAUUUUCCAUGUGGAUAAUUUGCUUAAAAUUGGGUUUGUUGGCAAAGAGUUUUGUCCAUUAUAAGGGGAAACUCUGUCAAAAUUUUUCUAAAUCUUUUCCAAUAUUGCACUAUGGCCCAAAAAAAUUCUUUAAUUUUUUGCAUUUUAUUUUAAAAAGGGCUAAAUUGUUCCAACCUUAAGAGUUUAAUUCUUCCAAUUAUUGAAACUUUAUGUGUAUUUUGGAAGGUUUAGUCCUCAUUUAACUUGAAAAUAGUUAUUAUGCAAUUAGAAUUUUUACAUUUUAGAAAGUAUAUUUGGUAAAGUGAGGAAAAUUAUGCCUAUAAUUUUACAUGUUUAAUGAGAUUUCUUCUCUUUACUUAAUUUUGCAAGUAAGUGAUUGAUAUAGUCGAUAAAAGUUAUACUCCUCCUUUGAUUAUUCUUAUAUAUUUUCUAAGAGGGAAUAUCUAUUUAUUGUCCUUUCUUUUUGAAAAAGAAAAAAAACAAAGAGAGAAAAAUAAAAAAUAGAAAAAAGAGAAAAAAAAGUAAAUAAAAAUUGUUCUACUCCAAUGAUUCUCGUACCAAGUAACCGGGGGUUGGCAUCUACAAAUGUCGACAUUCGCGUAAAAAGGUACUUGAAUUAAGAGUAUGCAUAGCAACUUGAAUAGGUGAAAUGUUGAGUAACCGGGGAUCUUCACCUAGAAGUGUCGAUUUUCGUGUAAAAAGGCAUUCUCACUAUUUAAGUAAAAAUUAGUAUGAAUAAAUCCCUCUUAGUUAUAGAAUUUUGAGAAAAAGAUGAUUAUAGUAGGAGGAAGGCUAUAAAUUGACUAUGUGAUUUGCUUAUUUGUAAAAUUAAGUUAGGGUAAGAGAUUAAGUUUAACUUGUUGAAUUUAGGGUAUAAUUAUCUUUCCUUUACUUGAUAUUAUGAGUAUUUAGUGUAAUUUGAACAAUGAUAUAAUGAUUAUUUUCCAAGUUUUGAGAAAUUAAAUUGGACAAAGUGCAUAUAUUGUUUCACCUCUUGAAUCAUUGUAGUUCAUUAUGUGUGGUUUGCUUGAGGACAAGCAAUGAUUCAAGUGUGGGGGAGUUUGAUAAGUGACUAAUUUACGUAAUAAUUGUAUGAUAUUUUAUAUUAUUUUUAGUCACUUUAGUUAUAUUAUUGGAAGAAAAUGAAUCAUUUUGGCUAUAAUUGAUGAAAAAUGCUUUUAAGUGAUUAAAUGAGGUUUUUAUCACUUUUUAGUGGGAUUUUGUGUAUUUUGACAGUUUUGACAUAUUUUUGUAUUUUGGCUAUAACUUGAGUUACAAUAAUCGGAUUGAGAUGAUUCUUGAACCAAUUUGAAUAUAAGAGAUAGAUAUACAACUUUGGUGAAGACAUAUGAAUCCAGUUUGAAGGUUUUCAAAGUCAAAAAGCUAAAUUACAGUAGCAAAUUUCUACUGGUCGAAGCUGAAACAGGGCAAUGAGCAGGUAAGGGUAUUUCAUACAUUUCUCAGCCUACACAGAUCUAAAUGAGGUGAUUCUUGAUGCAUUGGAAAGCUAACUCAAAGGGUUACAAGUUUCAUGUUUUGGUCAAGAGCUAAAUCAGCUUUUAUCAUCAAGAAAAGUUCAGUGGAAGUUGAUGCAAAAUUGGAGCAGAGCUGGAAAUUGAACCAGAAGUGACCAAAUGGUCACUAUAGCAAUCCGGCCGGAAUUUGGCUGGAUUUCUGGCCAGAUUGUGGUCAGAAAAGGCUGCUAUGUACGCGUAAAACUCAAUUUCACCUCCACCAACUCACAUGUGAUGCUAGACAUGUGAGAAACAUUCCCAGCUGUAAAAGGGAGGUGUAAACCUUAAGUCUUGACCAAUCUUUCAUCUUUAUAUUGUCAAAUUCAUUGCAAGAUUGAGAAUAGAGAGAGAUACGGGAGAAACUUGGAGUGCAGAGAUGUAGCUCUUGCAUUUUCUGAGUAGUAGUAGUAGGUUAGUAUAAAGUAGAGUGUUAUCCAUUCUUGUUUAUUAGCUAGAUGAAGAAGAAGAUGGAGGAUGAAGAAGGCAAAGAGAUGAACUCAUGUGAAAAGGGUUACAUUCCUUCCAAACUCUUUAUCUUUUGUAGUUAAUUCCAAGUUUGGUUAAUAUACAAGUUCUGGAUUUUGUGUUCAAUAUGUGUCUUUGAAGUUUAUGCCUUGGGUUUGGUUGAACUUUCUAUAAUUGUUAGUGUUUAUUAUUUGGUUAUUUGAUUGAUAUGAUUUGAGCAAGUUAUUUAGCACUUUGGCUCUUUAAAUCAUGAUUAAUCUGGUACCAUUAAUUGUGAUUAUCUAAGAUGUUGUUUCUGUAAUGAAAAUUGAGAUUUAACACUAGUUCAAAAGUGCUAAACAUAGGGAGUACACUCAUGAAAGUAGAGGUGCACCAAUGUGAUUUUUAAUGAUUCAUUUCGUGUAAUUUCACUGAAGAAAUAACCUUGUAACUAAUUUCAUAACCAUGGGAAUAGGUAUGGAUUAGUUAUAAGUAUAAUUGAUUCACUACGAAAGUAGGAUUCAAAUGCAUAAGGAAGUUACACCAUAACUAGUCUAGAUAUAGUACUCAAUGAUCCAAAUAUAGCACUUGCAUGAGUAGUUAGGGAUACCACAACCUAAGGAGUUUUUAUUUGUUAUUUUGUAUAAUUUCAGUAGGUUAAAUUUGUUAUAAUUCGUUGAUAGUCUAAAAAAUAAAGAAGCUUUAGUAAUACCGGUAAUUGUUCACUCUUCCCUGUGGGAUCGACCCGAUAUAUGCCCUAAACUAUUAGUUGACUUGUAUACUUGCAGUGAACGGGUGUAAUUCGAUUUUUUUUAACUUGUACGUAUAUGUAAAAUACCCGUCAAAGGAAAUAAACACAUAAAUCAAAUAUAGCACAUAGCACAUAAGCAUAAUAUCUAGAUGCAAAAAUCCUAGGAAAGUGAGUAAACACAUAAGCACACAAGCAUGUAAACACAUAAACAAAUAAAAUUGAAUAAAGACUUAACUAUUACAUUCGGGGGUCCCUAACUACAAUCUAAAGGGGUAAAGAAUGAAAUGAAAUAAUAACCUGACUAUCACAAUUUGGCAUUUUAAUGCCUCUCAAAUAACCAAAAAUUAAACUAAAAUAAAUGUACAAAAUUAAAACAAAUAAAGUGAAUAAAUAAAUAAAUGAAAUAAAAUAAAAAGUAUUCAAAAAACAUGCAAUUGCACACAUAAAAUCACAUAGGAGCACAUAGGAUCAAGUAAAAUGAAAAUAAAGGAGUAGAAUGUACCUCUCUUAAAUUGGUGAUCUAAUGAAAUGAAAAUUCUCUUAUUUACCCUCCAAAAGAAAGGAAAUGGUCAAGGCACCAAUUUAUUUGAUAAACACAAAACAAAUCAUUUGAAAUCAACUCAAGGUUCCUAAAAUUUAGAAAUUAAAUGCCAUUUAAACUAAACAAGU